UCCGUAGGUGAACCUGCGGAAGGAUCAUUAUCGAGUUUUGAAUGGGUUGUCUGCUGGCUCGCAAGGGCAUGUGCACGCCUGUCUCAUCCACUCUCAACUUCUGUGCACUUUUCAUAGGCCGGCUUGUGGGUGCGUUCGCGCACUUGUAGGUGUCGGGCUUAUGCUUUACUACAAACGAUUCAGUUUUAGAAUGUCAUACUUUGCUAUAACGCAAUUAUAUACAACUUUCAGCAACGGAUCUCUUGGCUCUCGCAUCGAUGAAGAACGCAGCGAAAUGCGAUAAGUAAUGUGAAUUGCAGAAUUCAGUGAAUCAUCGAAUCUUUGAACGCACCUUGCGCUCCUUGGUAUUCCGAGGAGCAUGCCUGUUUGAGUCUCAUGGAAUUCUCAACCUUCAGCUUUAUUGAUGAAGGCUUGGACUUGGAGGUCGUGCCGGCUCUCGUAGUCGGCUCCUCUGAAAUGCAUUAGUGCGAACGUUACCAGCCGCUUCAGCGUGAUAAUUAUCUGCGUUGCUGUGGAGGGUAUUCUAGUGUUCACGCUUCUAACCGUCUUCGGACAAAUUUCUGAACUCUGAGCUCAAAUCAGUAGACACCC
rnacentral:rRNA from 1 species